rnacentral:misc_RNA from 1 species
UACGUAGGUGGCAAGCGUUGUCCGGAAUUAUUGGGCGUAAAGCGCGCGCAGGCGGUCCCUUAAGUCUGAUGUGAAAGCCCACGGCUCAACCGUGGAGGGUCAUUGGAAACUGGGGGACUUGAGUGCAGAAGAGGGGGGUAGAAUUCCAGGUGUAGCGGUGAAAUGCGUAGAGAUCUGGAGGAAUACCGGUGGCGAAGGCGACUUUCUGGUCUGUAACUGACGCUGAGGCGCGGAAGCGUGGGGAGCAAACAGG